rnacentral:rRNA from 1 species
CACGGGAGACACACGGCGGGUGCUAACGUCCGUCGUGAAGAGGGAAACAACCCAGACCGCCAGCUAAGGUCCCAAAGUCAUGGUUAAGUGGGAAACGAUGUGGGAAGGCCCAGACAGCCAGGAUGUUGGCUUAGAAGCAGCCAUCAUUUAAAGAAAGCGUAAUAGCUCACUGGUCGAGUCGGCCUGCGCGGAAGAUGUAACGGGGCUAAACCAUGCACCGAAGCUGCGGCAGCGACACUAUGUGUUGUUGGGUAGGGGAGCGUUCUGUAAGCCUGUGAAGGUGUACUGUGAGGUAUGCUGGAGGUAUCAGAAGUGCGAAUGCUGACAUAAGUAACGAUAAAGCGGGUGAAAAGCCCGCUCGCCGGAAGACCAAGGGUUCCUGUCCAACGUUAAUCGGGGCAGGGUGAGUCGACCCCUAAGGCGAGGCCGAAAGGCGUAGUCGAUGGGAAACAGGUUAAUAUUCCUGUACUUGGUGUUACUGCGAAGGGGGGACGGAGAAGGCUAUGUUGGCCGGGCGACGGUUGUCCCGGUUUAAGCGUGUAGGCUGGUUUUCCAGGCAAAUCCGGAAAAUCAAGGCUGAGGCGUGAUGACGAGGCACUACGGUGCUGAAGCAACAAAUGCCCUGCUUCCAGGAAAAGCCUCUAAGCAUCAGGUAACAUCAAAUCGUACCCCAAACCGACACAGGUGGUCAGGUAGAGAAUACCAAGGCGCUUGAGAGAACUCGGGUGAAGGAACUAGGCAAAAUGGUGCCGUAACUUCGGGAGAAGGCACGCUGAUAUGUAGGUGAAGUCCCUCGCGGAUGGAGCUGAAAUCAGUCGAAGAUACCAGCUGGCUGCAACUGUUUAUUAAAAACACAGCACUGUGCAAACACGAAAGUGGACGUAUACGGUGUGACGCCUGCCCGGUGCCGGAAGGUUAAUUGAUGGGGUCAGCGCAAGCGAAGCUCUUGAUCGAAGCCCCGGUAAACGGCGGCCGUAACUAUAACGGUCCUAAGGUAGCGAAAUUCCUUGUCGGGUAAGUUCCGACCUGCACGAAUGGCGUAAUGAUGGCCAGGCUGUCUCCACCCGAGACUCAGUGAAAUUGAACUCGCUGUGAAGAUGCAGUGUACCCGCGGCAAGACGGAAAGACCCCGUGAACCUUUACUAUAGCUUGACACUGAACAUUGAGCC